rnacentral:rRNA from 1 species
UACGUAGGGAGCAAGCGUUGUCCGGAAUCAUUGGGCGUAAAGCGCGCGUAGGCGGCCCUGUAAGUCCGUUGUGAAAGUCAAAGGCUCAACCUUUGAAAGCCGAUGGAUACUGCAGGGCUAGAGUCCGGAAGAGGCGAGUGGAAUUCCUGGUGUAGCGGUGGAAUGCGCAGAUAUCGGGAAGAACACCCGUGGCGAAGGCGGCUCUCUGGGACGGUACUGACGCUGAGACGCGAAAGCGUGGGGAGCGAACAGG